GCAUACAAAGAGAAGCGACCUCGCGAGAGCAAGCGGACCUCAUAAAGUGCGUCGUAGUCCGGAUUGGAGUCUGCAACUCGACUCCAUGAAGUCGGAAUCGCUAGUAAUCGUGGAUCAGAAUGCCACGGUGAAUACGUUCCCGGGCCUUGUACACACCGCCCGUCACACCAUGGGAGUGGGUUGCAAAAGAAGUAGGUAGCUUAACCUUCGGGAGGGCGCUUACCACUUUGUGAUUCAUGACUGGGGUGAAGUCGUAACAAGGUAACCGUAGGGGAACCUGCGGUUGGA
rnacentral:rRNA from 4 species